rnacentral:rRNA from 1 species
UACGGAGGGGGCUAGCGUUGUUCGGAAUUACUGGGCGUAAAGCGCACGUAGGCGGCUUUGCAAGUUAGAGGUGAAAGCCCAGGGCUUAACCCUGGAAUUGCCUUUAAAACUGCAUCGCUAGAAUUGUGGAGAGGUAAGUGGAAUUCCGAGUGUAGAGGUGAAAUUCGUAGAUAUUCGGAAGAACACCAGUGGCGAAGGCGACUCGCUGGACAAGUAUUGACGCUGAGGUGCGAAAGCGUGGGGAGCAAACAGG